rnacentral:rRNA from 1 species
AUUGAACGCUGGCGGCAUGCCUUACACAUGCAAGUCGAACGGCAGCACGGGAGCAAUCCUGGUGGCGAGUGGCGAACGGGUGAGUAAUAUAUCGGAACGUGCCCAGUCGCGGGGGAUAACGCAGCGAAAGCCGUGCUAAUACCGCAUACGAUCUAAGGAUGCAGGCGGGGGAUCGCAAGACCUCGCGCGAUUGGAGCGGCCGAUAUCAGAUUAGCUACGUGGUGGGGUAAAGGCCCACAAAGGCGACGAUCUGUAGCUGGUCUGAGAGGACGACCAGCCACACUGGAACUGAGACACGGGCCAGACUCCUACGGGAGGCAGCAGUGGGGAAUUUUGGACAAUGGGCGCAAGCCUGAUCCAGCAAUGCCGCGUGCAGGAUGAAGGCCUUCGGGUUGUAAACUGCUUUUGUACGGAACGAAACGGCCCUUUCUAAUACAGGGGGCUAAUGACGGUACCGUAAGAAUAAGCACCGGCUAACAACGUGCCAGCAGCCGCGGUAAAAC